GCUAUUGUGUAAUGCGUGCCCGUACCGUAAACCGACACAGGUGGAUGAGGAGAAAUCCUAAGGCCGACGGAAGAAGCAUUGUUAAGGAAUUCGGCAAAAUGACCCCGUAACUUCGGGAGAAGGGGUGCCUGCGAGAGCAGGCCGCAGAGAAUAGGCUCAAGCAACUGUUUAGCAAAAACACAGGUCUAUGCGAAACCGAAAGGUGAAGUAUAUGGGCUGACGCCUGCCCGGUGCUGGAAGGUUAAGAGGAGAGGUUAGCGUAAGCGAAGCUUUGAAUUUAAGCCCCAGUAAACGGCGGCCGUAACAAUAACGGUCCUAAGGUAGCGAAAUUCCUUGUCGGGUAAGUUCCGACCCGCACGAAAGGCGUAAUGAUUUGAGCACUGUCUCGACAAUGCAUCCGGUGAAAUUGAAGUACCAGUGAAGAUGCUGGUUACCCGCGCCAGGACGGAAAGACCCCAUGGAGCUUUACUCCAGUUUGAUACUGGGAUUCGGUACUGCAUGUACAGGAUAGGUGGGAGACAAAGAAGGAUGGACGCCAGUCUGUCCGGAGUCGCUGUUGGGAUACCACCCCUGUAGUACUGGGUUUCUAACCAGUUGCCAUGAACUGGCAAUGGGACAAUGUCAGGCGGGGAGUUUGACUGGGGCGGUCGCCUCCGAAAGGGUAUCGGAGGCGCUCAAAGGUUCCCUCAGAAUGGUUGGAAACCAUUUGAAGAGUGCAAAGGCAGAAGGAAGCUUGACUGCGACACCGACGGGUGGAGCAGGUACGAAAGUAGGACUUAGUGAUCCGGUGGUAUAAAGUGGGAUUGCCAUCGCUCAACGGAUAAAAGCUACCCUGGGAUAACAGGCUUAUCACUCCCAAGAGUUCACAUCGACGGAGUGGUUUGGCACCUCGAUGUCGGCUCAUCGCAUCCUGGGGCUGUAGCAGGUCCCAAGGGUUGGGCUGUUCGCCCAUUAAAGCGGUACGCGAGCUGGGUUCAGAACGUCGUGAGACAGUUCGGUCCCUAUCCGGCGCGGGCGGAGGAUAUUUGAGAGGAGCUGUCCUUAGUACGAGAGGACCGGGAUGGACGGACCACUGGUGUAUCUGUUGUCGACCAACGGCAUGGCAGAGUAGCCAAGUCUGGAAGGGAUAAACGCUGAAGGCAUCUAAGCGUGAAGCCCCCCUCAAGAUGAGAUAUCCCUCCUUCGGGAGUAAGACCCCUUGAAGACUACAAGGUAGAUAGGGCAGAGGUGGAAGCAUGGCAACAUGUGGAGCUGACUGUUACUAAUAGGUCGAGGGCUUAAUAAA
rnacentral:rRNA from 1 species